AAGCGGGGGAUAACACCUGGAAACAGAUGCUAAUACCGCAUAACAACUUGGACCGCAUGGUCCGAGUUUGAAAGAUGGCUUCGGCUAUCACUUUUGGAUGGUCCCGCGGCGUAUUAGCUAGAUGGUGGGGUAACGGCUCACCAUGGCAAUGAUACGUAGCCGACCUGAGAGGGUAAUCGGCCACAUUGGGACUGAGACACGGCCCAAACUCCUACGGGAGGCAGCAGACCGGGAAUCUUCCACAAUGGACGAAAGUCUGAUGGAGCAACGCCGCGUGAGUGAAGAAGGGUUUCGGCUCGUAAAACUCUGUUGUUAAAGAAGAACAUAUCUGAGAGUAACUGUUCAGGUAUUGACGGUAUUUAACCAGAAAGCCACGGCUAACUACGUGCCAGCAGCCGCGGUAAUACGUAGGUGGCAAGCGUUGUCCGGAUUUAUUGGGCGUAAAGCGAGCGCAGGCGGUUUUUUAAGUCUGAUGUGAAAGCCUUCGGCUCAACCGAAGAAGUGCAUCGGAAACUGGGAAACUUGAGUGCAGAAGAGGACAGUGGAACUCCAUGUGUAGCGGUGAAAUGCGUAAAUAUAUGGAAGAACACCAGUGGCGAAGGCGGCUGUCUGGGCUGUAACUGACGCUGAGGCUCGAAAGUAUGGGUAGCAAACAGGAUUAGAUACCCUGGUAGUCCAUAACGGAAACGAUGAAUGCUAAGUGUUGGACGGUUUCCGCCCUUCAGUGCUGCAGCUAACGCAUUAAGCAUUCCGCCUGGGGAGUACGGCCGCAAGGCUGAAACUCAAAGGAAUUGACGGGGGCCCGCACAAGCGGUGGAGCAUGUGGUUUAAUUCGAAGCUACGCGAAGAACCUUACCAGGUCUUGACAUACUAUGCAAAUCUAAGAGAUUAGACGUUCCCUUCGGGGACAUGGAUACAGGUGAGGCAUGGUUGUCGUCAGCUCGUGUCGUGAGAUGUUGGGUUAAGUCCCGCAACGAGCGCAACCCUUAUUAUCAGUUGCCAGCAUUAAGUUGGGCACUCUGGUGAGACUGCCGGUGACAAACCGGAGGAAGGUGGGGAUGACGUCAAAUCAUCAUGCCCCUUAUGACCUGGGCUACACACGUGCUACAAUGGAUGGUACAACGAGUUGCGAACUCGCGAGAGUAAGCUAAUCUCUUAAAGCCAUUCUCAGUUCGGAUUGUAGGCUGCAACUCGCCUACAUGAAGUCGGAAUCGCUAGUAAUCGCGGAUCAGCAUGCCGCGGUGAAUACGUUCCCGGGCCUUGUACACACUGACCGUCACACCAUUAGAGUU
rnacentral:rRNA from 2 species